GACGAACGCUGGCGGCGUGCUUAACACAUGCAAGUCGAACGGAAAGGCCCUGCUGUUGUGGGGUGCUCGAGUGGCGAACGGGUGAGUAACACGUGAGUAACCUGCCCUUGACUUUGGGAUAACUUCAAGAAACUGGGGCUAAUACCGGAUAGGAGCUCCUGCUGCAUGGUGGGGGUUGGAAAUUUUCGGCGGUUGGGGAUGGACUCGCGGCUUAUCAGCUUGUUGGUGGGGUAGUGGCUUACCAAGGCUUUGACGGGUAGCCGGCCUGAGAGGGUGACCGGCCACAUUGGGACUGAGAUACGGCCCAGACUCCUACGGGAGGCAGCAGUGGGGAAUAUUGCACAAUGGGCGGAAGCCUGAUGCAGCAACGCCGCGUGCGGGAUGACGGCCUUCGGGUUGUAAACCGCUUUCGCCUGUGACGAAGCGUGAGUGACGGUAAUGGGUAAAGAAGCACCGGCUAACUACGUG
rnacentral:rRNA from 1 species